rnacentral:rRNA from 1 species
UACGGAGGGUGCAAGCGUUAUCCGGAUUCACUGGGUUUAAAGGGUGCGUAGGCGGAUUAGUAAGUCCGUGGUGAAAUCUCCAAGCUUAACUCGGAAACUGCCGUGGAUACUAUUAGUCUUGAAUGUUGUGGAGGUUAGCGGAAUAUGUCAUGUAGCGGUGAAAUGCAUAGAUAUGACAUAGAACACCAAUUGCGAAGGCAGCUGGCUACACAAAUAUUGACGCUGAUGCACGAAAGCGUGGGGAUCAAACAGGAUUAGAAACCCCCGUAGUCC